rnacentral:rRNA from 1 species
GAUGAACGCUAGCUACAGGCUUAACACAUGCAAGUCGAGGGGUAACGAGAGGAAAGCUUGCUUUCCUUGUCGACGACCGGCGCACGGGUGAGUAACGCGUAUCCAACCUGCCCCCAACUAGGGAAUAACCUUGCGAAAGUAAGACUAAUACCCUAUAAUUUCCUCAGAUGUCAUCUGACGAGGAAUAAAGAUUUAUCGGUUGUGGAUGGGGAUGCGUCUGAUUGGCUUGUUGGCGGGGUAACGGCCCACCAAGGCAACGAGCAGUAUGGGUGAUGAGAAGAAGGUCCCCCACAAUGGAACGGGGCGCCGGUCCAAACCCCUACGGGAGGCAGAAGUGAGGAAUAUUGAUCAAUGGGCGGAAGCCUGAACCAGCCAAGUAGCGUGCAGGAUGACGGCCCUAUGGGUUGUAAACUGCUUUUAUACAGGAAUAAAGUUAGCCACGUGUGGUUAUUUGUAGGUACUGUAUGAAUAAGGACCGGCUAAUUCCGUGCCAGCCGCCGCCGUAA